rnacentral:rRNA from 1 species
GUCUACGGCCAUGCCACCCCGAACAUGCCCGAUCUCAUCUGAUCUCGGAAGCUAAGCAGGGUUGGACCUGGUUAGUACUUGGAUGGGAGAUCACCUAGGAAGACCGGGUGCUGUAGGUG